AACGAACGCUGGCGGCGUGGAUUAGGCAUGCAAGUCGAACGGUAGGAUACCUUCGGGUAUCUGAGAGUGGCGAACGGGUGAGUAACACGUAGGUGAUCUACCCUCAAGAUUGGGACAACCCAGGGAAACUUGGGCUAAUACCGGAUGAAAGCAGCAGUGAUGUUGUUUGAAAGGUGGCGUAAGCUGCCGUUUGGGGAUGAGCCUGCGCUCUAUUAGUUAGUUGGCGGGGUAAAGGCCCACCAAGGCGAUGAUAGAUAGGCGGCCUUAACGGGUGGUCGCCCACACUGGGAUUGAGAUACGGCCCAGACUCCUACGGGAGGCAGCAGUCGAGAAUAGUCUACAAUGGCCGAAAGGCUGAUAGUGCGACGCCGCGUGAACGAAGAAGCCCUUCGGGGUGUAAAGUUCUUUUAUAUGUGAGCAGUGCUUUCUAUGUGAACAGCAUGGGGAGAGAGAUAUUAGCAUAUGAAUAAGCAACGGCUAACUCCGUGCCAGC
rnacentral:rRNA from 1 species